UGGGGAAUAUUGGACAAUGGGCGAAAGCCUGAUCCAGCCAUGCCGCGUGUGUGAAGAAGGUCUUCGGAUUGUAAAGCACUUUAAGUUGGGAGGAAGGGCAGUAACCUAAUACGUUGCUGUCUUGACGUUACCGACAGAAUAAGCACCGGCUAACUCUGUGCCAGCAGCCGCGGUAAUACAGAGGGUGCAAGCGUUAAUCGGAAUUACUGGGCGUAAAGCGCGCGUAGGUGGUUUGUUAAGUUGGAUGUGAAAUCCCCGGGCUCAACCUGGGAACUGCAUUCAAAACUGACAAGCUAGAGUAUGGUAGAGGGUGGUGGAAUUUCCUGUGUAGCGGUGAAAUGCGUAGAUAUAGGAAGGAACACCAGUGGCGAAGGCGACCACCUGGACUGGUACUGACACUGAGGUGCGAAAGCGUGGGGAGCAAACAGGAUUAGAUACCCCAGUAGUCCCUGAGCGGGCUGGCAAGGCGCAU
rnacentral:rRNA from 1 species